CCUACGGGAGACAGCAGUAGGGAAUAUUGCUCAAUGGGGGAAACCCUGAAGCAGCAAAGCCGCGUGGAGGAUGAAGGUUUUAGGAUUGUAAACUCCUUUUGUUAGAGGAGAUUAUGACGGUAUCUAACGGAUAAGCACCGGCUAACUCCGAGCCAGCAGCCGCGGUAAUACGGAGAGUGCAAGCGUUACGCGGAAUCACUGGGCGUAAAGCGUGCGUAGGCGGGGUAAUAAGUCAGAUGUGAAAUCCUGUAGCUUAACCAGAGAACUGCAGUGGAAACUGUUACUCUUGAGUGUGCGAGAGGUAGGUGGAAUGCGUGGUGUAGCGGUAAAAUCCGUAGAGAUCAAGAAGAAUACUCAUUGCGAAGGCGACCUGCUGGAACAUUACUGACGCUGAUGCACGAAAGCGUGGGGAGCAAACAGGAUUAGAUACCCGGGUAGUC
rnacentral:rRNA from 1 species